rnacentral:rRNA from 1 species
ACUCAAAUGAAUUGACGGGGGCCCGCACAAGCGGUGGAGCAUGUGGUUCAAUUCGACGCAACGCGAAGAACCUUACCGGGGUUUGAACUGUACGGGACAGCCUCAGAGAUGAGGUUUUCCUUCGGGACCCGUAUAGAGGUGCUGCAUGGCUGUCGUCAGCUCGUGUCGUGAGAUGUUGGGUUAAGUCCCGCAACGAGCGCAACCCUUGCCUGCUGUUGCUAACGAGUAAUGUCGAGCACUCUGCAGAGACUGCCGGUGAUAAACCGGAGGAAGGUGGGGAUGACGUCAAGUCCUCAUGGCCUUUAUGCCCCGGGCUACACACGUGCUACAAUGGGCGGUACAAAGGGUCGCAAAACCGCGAGGUGGAGCUAAUCCCAAAAAGCCGCUCCCAGUUCGGAUUGGAGUCUGCAACUCGACUCCAUGAAGUUGGAAUCGCUAGUAAUCGCGGAUCAGCACGCCGCGGUGAAUACGUUCCCGGGCCUUGUACACACCGCCCGU